rnacentral:rRNA from 1 species
UACGUAGGCAGCAAGCGUUGUUCGGAGUUACUGGGCGUAAAGAGUGCGUAGGCGGUUCUUUAAGUUUGGUGUGAAAUCUCCCGGCUCAACUGGGAGGGUGCGCCGAAAACUGGAGGGCUUGAGUGUGGGAGAGGCAAGCGGAAUUCCUGGUGUAGCGGUGAAAUGCGUAGAUAUCAGGAGGAACACCUGUGGUGUAGGCAGCUUGCUGGACCAUUACUGACGCUGAGGCACGAAAGCGUGGGUAGCAAACAGG